rnacentral:lncRNA from 1 species
AUGGUUAGCUCUCACCACCACCCCAAAUCCCAGGUACUGAAAAAAACAGAGGCCAGCUUCCUAAAUACUGUACAUUUGCUUUGCCUGGGUCUCAAAAGUCAUGGUGGAUGCCUAGCGAAGAUAAAAGCAGCAUCCUGUCGAACUACGAGCAACCUCGUACUGGAAGCCAGCUGGACAGAGAAAUCGAGGGGAGAACCAGGCGCAGGGCGACGCUCCCAAAGUUGCCCACACAGGGGGUGUUUUGGGGGGGGGGAGUUGAUCCUCUUUUUCCCACCGGCCUCCCCGCCUGAGGACGGAAAGCAGGGAGCUUUCCAAGGAGACUCGCGCUCGGAUCCCGUCUCCGAGGACAUGAACCGUGCAUGGGCAAGCCUCGGGUCCCGGGUCACUUUUGGGGGUGGUCAGCGCGCCGGGCUCGCCCAGCCCCACAGGCCAGGGGGGCGCCUCCUUACCUGGGGUUGGUGCUGUUCCAAUAGACGGCGUAGCGAUCGGCCACCGUUUUGGAGCUGGGAUCCUGGCAGAAGACGCACAUCCAGAGCAGCAGAAAGACCGCCGUCAACAUCUCCACGUGCAACAUCACUCCCGGCCAAGGCAACGAGACACGCCGCAGGAACGGACGGAGCGUUGCUUUUCUUCUCAAAAAAAAAGAAAAAAGCAAGGACCGGAACAAAGGAGCACACGAAAAAGGACAAAGUAACGAAAGAAAAGAGGGGGGACGAGAACGAGAGAGAGAGAGACACAGAGAGAGUGAGAGAGAGAAAGAGAAAUCACACCAAGUCACCCAACAAACACAAAGAGAGACGCGCCAAGAAGGCCGGCAGCCACGAGGAGGUCCCCCCGGGGAAAAAGCCGGCGCCCGGGAGAGAUCCGGAGGGAGCCUGCGGGCCCCGGGAGGGGGAGCGGCGAGCCGAACCGGGCGGCGGCGGCGGCGGCGGCAACAGACGGGCAACAAGGCGGAGGCGGGAGGAGCUCAUUCACGGCGGCGAGUCCUGUGCGGAGCCCGAGGCGAGACAUACACCAGCCCUGCCCCCGUCCAGCGCCGCUGAGGGGCGGCUCCGCUGUCCUGGCCUCCCCUCCCUGUUCGCAAUCGCCCUCCUUCUCUCGCUCGCUCGCUCGCUCGCUCUUCUCUCUCUCUCUCUCUCUCUCUCUCUCUGGGACUUUUCUUCUUCCCGCCCUUUGGUGCGAGGGCUGUCCGAGGGAGGCCGGCGGGAGCGAGCUGGCAGGAAUCCUCCAAGGCACAGCAAAAAGUCCACUUUGGGUGCUUUGCGCCUCCUCUUCCUCCUCCUCCUCCUCCUCUCGCCCCUUUCGCUCUCUUUCUCCUGCUCGAGUCGGGCGGCCAACGUCGGAGGCGGCGGGCUACCCUCUCCGCGGGAAGGAGGCUCCUCGCCUUCCCUCCUGCUCCUCCUGGGUGAGGGAUGA